UCGAUAACCCCCGGCGGGUUUCAGAGCCACGUUCGGCUGUGCGCAGCUGGGAAUGGGGCACUUUCUGCGGUGGCACAUCGGUGGUUUGGACCUAAAUUAGUUAAUAUUGUUGGCCUGUGGCGAGAGCGGGGGGCUGAAGCCAUUCUCGUUUCGCAGAAUCACAGAAUCGUUCGGGUUGGAAGGUCCGUGUGGAGAUCAAAGCCCCCGGCCAAGGCAGGGUCACCCGUGCAGGUGACACCGGAACGCGUCCAGAGCCCAGCACGGACGGACCGGACACGCUGAAGCUCCAGCCCAGCCCACGGAGUGUCCUCGCACUCUUCCCGAUUUUCUUCAAUGCAACGAAAUUGAUAAAAGACUUCAUCUAAUCCUUCCUACUUUUUAA